rnacentral:tRNA from 1 species
GAGGAUAUAGCUCAAGGUUAGAGCAUAUGCUUAGCAUGCACAAGUUCCUGGGUUCAAUCCCCAGUACCAUCU